UGCAGUCGGACGGGAUUGAGGAGCUUGCUUCUCAUGAGAGUGGCGCACGGGUGCGUAACACGUAUGUAACCUACCUUGUUCAGGGGGAUAGCCUCUCGAAAGAGAGAUUAACACCGCAUAAAAUCAAUUUAUGGCAUCAUAGAAUGAUCAAAUAUUUAUAGGAACAAGAUGGGCAUGCGGAACAUUAGCUAGUUGGUAAGGUAACGGCUUACCAAGGCUACGAUGUUUAGGGGAUCUGAGAGGAUGACCCCCCACACUGGUACUGAGACACGGACCAGACUCCUACGGGAGGCAGCAGUAAGGAAUAUUGGUCAAUGGACGCAAGUCUGAACCAGCCAUGCCGCGUGCAGGAAGACGGCCCUACGGGUUGUAAACUGCUUUUGUACCGGAAUAAACCUUUUCACGUGUGAGAAGCUGAAUGUACGGUAAGAAUAAGGAUCGGCUAACUCCGUGCCAGCAGCCGCGGUAAUACGGAGGAUCCAAGCGUUAUCCGGAUUUAUUGGGUUUAAAGGGUGCGUAGGUGGCCUAUUAAGUCAGGGGUGAAAGACGGUAGCUUAACUAUCGCAGUGCCUUUGAUACUGAUGGGCUUGAAUACACUUGAGGUAGGCGGAAUGUGACAAGUAGCGGUGAAAUGCAUAGAUAUGUCACAGAACACCAAUUGCGAAGGCAGCUUACUAAAGUGUUAUUGACACUGAGGCACGAAAGCGUGGGGAUCAAACAGGAUUAGAUACCCUGGUAGUCCACGCCCUAAACGAUGAAUACUCGAUGUUGGCGAUAUACGGUCAGCGUCUAAGCGAAAGCGUUAAGUAUUCCACCUGGGGAGUACGCCCGCAAGGGUGAAACUCAAAGGAAUUGACGGGGGCCCGCACAAGCGGA
rnacentral:rRNA from 1 species